rnacentral:ncRNA from 1 species
UGUUCCGGUUCCUUAUUCAGGGAACGGAUGAAAAGGGAAUCGGGUGAAACUCCCGAACAGUCCCGCUGCUGUAAGUUUCAUUAUGAAUGUAUCAUUCUUGUGCCACUGUCUUUGGUUUGAGGAUGGGAAGGCGAUACAUUAGAAAUAAGUCAGAAGACCUGCAAAAC